rnacentral:rRNA from 1 species
UGUAGCGGUGGAAUGCGCAGAUAUCAGGAGGAACACCGAUGGCGAAGGCAGGUCUCUGGGCCAUGACUGACGCUGAGAAGCGAAAGCGUGGGGAGCGAACAGGAUUAGAUACCCUGGUAGUCCACGCUGUAAACGUUGGGCGCUAGGUGUGGGUCCCAUUCCACGGGGUCCGUGCCGCAGCUAACGCAUUAAGCGCCCCGCCUGGGGAGUACGGCCGCAAGGCUAAAACUCAAAGGAAUUGACGGGGGCCCGCACAAGCGGCGGAGCAUGCGGAUUAAUUCGAUGCAACGCGAAGAACCUUACCAAGGCUUGACAUACACCGGACGACUGCAGAGAUGUGGUUUCCCUUUGUGGCUGGUGUACAGGUGGUGCAUGGUUGUCGUCAGCUCGUGUCGUGAGAUGUUGGGUUAAGUCCCGCAACGAGCGCAACCCUCGUUCCAUGUUGCCAGCAACACCUUUUGGGUGGUUGGGGACUCAUGGGAGACUGCCGGGGUCAACUCGGAGGAAGGUGGGGAUGACGUCAAAUCAUCAUGCCCCUUACGUCUUGGGCUUCACGCAUGCUACAAUGGCCGGUACAAAGGGCUGCGAUCCCGUGAGGGGGAGCGAAUCCCAGAAAGCCGGUCUCAGUUCGGAUUGGGGUCUGCAACUCGACCCCAUGAAGUCGGAGUCGCUAGUAAUCGCAGAUCAGCAACGCUGCGGUGAAUACGUUCCCGGGCCUUGUACACACCGCCCGUCAAGUCACGAAAGUCGGUAACACCCGAAGCCGGUGAGCCUCAACUCCUUGUGGAGGGAGCUUCGUAGAAGUGAGAUCCAAUGCCCC